rnacentral:rRNA from 1 species
UACAGAGGUCUCAAGCGUUGUUCGGAUUCAUUGGGCGUAAAGGGUGCGUAGGCGGCGCGGUAAGUCGGGUGUGAAAUCUUGGAGCUUAACUCCGAAACUGCAUUCGAUACUGCCGUGCUUGAGGACUGGAGAGGAGACUGGAAUUUACGGUGUAGCGGUGAAAUGCGCAGAUAUCAGGAGGAACACCAAUGGCGAAGGCAGCUCGCUGGGACGGUACUGACGCUGAGACGCGAAAGCGUGGGGAGCAAACAGG